rnacentral:rRNA from 1 species
GAUGAACGCUGGCGGCGUGCCUAAUACAUGCAAGUCGAGCGAACGGACGAGAAGCUUGCUUCUCUGAUGUUAGCGGCGGACGGGUGAGUAACACGUGGAUAACCUACCUAUAAGACUGGGAUAACUUCGGGAAACCGGAGCUAAUACCGGAUGAUAUUUUGAACCGCAUGGUUCAAAAGUGAAAGACGGUCUUGAUGUCACUUAUAGAUGGAUCCGCGCUGCAUUAGCUAGUUGGUAAGGUAACGGCUUACUAAGGCAACGAUGCAUAGCCGACCUGAGAGGGUGAUCGGCCACACUGGAACUGAGACACGGUCCAGACUCCUACGGGAGGCAGCAGUAGGGAAUCUUCCGCAAUGGGCGAAAGCCUGACGGAGCAACGCCGCGUGAGUGAUGAAGGUCUUCGGAUCGUAAAACUCUGUUAUUAGGGAAGAACAUAUGUGUAAGUAACUGUGCACAUCUUGACGGUACCUAAUCAGAAAGCCACGGCUAACUACGUG